rnacentral:rRNA from 1 species
AUGGCAACCGCCAACGCCGACGCUGCCGAGGUCGAGCGGCUCUACGAGCUCGGCGACCGACUUUCCUCAGCCAAGGACAAGUCCCAGCACGCGGCGGACUAUGAGGCGAUCAUAGCGUCGGUGAAGGGGCAAAACGUUAAAGCGAAGCAGCUGGCGGCACAGCUCAUCCCCCGUUACUUCCGGAGUUUCCCAGCCCUCGGUACCUUCGCCAUGGAAGCAAUGUUCGACCUCGUUGAGAUGGAAGAGCUCGCGAUCAGAAUACAAGCUAUUCGUGGGUUUCCGCUUCUUGGCAAAGAUGCAGAGUUCAUCUCAAAAAUUGCAGAUAUUCUUGGUCAGCUCCUUACAAGUGAGGAAAAUGUGGAGCGUGAUGCUGUUCAUAAAGCACUCAUGUCCCUUAUACGACAAGAUGUUAAAAAUUCGUUGCAGCCUUUAUUUAAGCACGUGGAGUCAGGAUCAGAGAUCCGUGAAAAGAUUAUUUGUUUCCUCCGAGACAAGGUUUUUCCUGUCAAAGCAGAGCUACUAAAGCCUCAAGCAGAAAUGGAAAGAUAUAUAACUGAUUUGAUAAAGAAAAGUGUACAAGAUGUUACUGGGCUGGAAUUUAAAUUAUUCAUGGAUUUUCUGCGGAGUUUGAGCAUAUUUGGGGAUACUGCUCCUCGAGAAUCCUUUCAAGAAUUAAUUGAAAUCAUUCAAGCACAAGCUGAUCUUGAUGCACAGUUUGAUGUUUCUGAUAUCGAUCAUAUAGAGAGGUGGACCUCAUGCAUCUAUAUGGCUCUUCCUAUCUUCACGAGAGGUGCAUCAAGCAGCAAGUUUCUCAACUACUUUGCUAAGCAAAUCGUUCCAGUUUUCGAUAAGAUUCCGGAGGAGAAGAAACUGGAUUUACUUAAGACAGUUGCUGCUAGCUCGCCAUAUGCUGCAGCACAAGAUUCACGCCAGCUGCUUCCAUCCAUUGUUCAGUUGCUCAAGAAGUAUAUGCCUGGGAAGAAGGUAGAUGAUAUUAAUCACAAUUAUGUCGAGUGCUUGCUAUACACUUUUCACCAUUUGGCUCAUAAGACACCAAACACAACAAACAGUCUCUGUGGUUACAAGAUCGUUACUGGACAGCCAUCAGAUAGACUUGGAGAGGAUUUCUCAGAACAUUACAAAGAUUUUAUUGAGAGGUUAACUGGAACAGAAGACACGGUUCGAGCAGCCUCGAAGAGACUAACCCAGGGAAUGGCAGAUUUCAACAAGGCAAUAUCUUCAGCAAAGACAGAAGAAGAGAAAACUAAAAUCAAAGCGGAUCAGCAAAAAUCGACGAUGACAAUGCGGUCCUAUAAUAAUAUAUUGGCAAUGUCACAGCCAUUGCAUGGGAAAUCUCCGUUAUUCAUUGGAGAUAAGAAAAUUACUCUAUCAUGGAUGGAACAACCAAAGAAACCAGCAGCUUCAACAGCUGGAGGGAAGAGGAUCCAGCCUGCUAGUAACGGGAAUGCCCCUUUAAACAAGAAGGGGCGAGGAGAUGGAGGAAUGCACAAUCAGCUUGUGAACAGAGCUUUUGAGGGGUUACCCCGUGGUGGUGGUAGAGGCAGUGGAAGAGGGCGGGGCAGAGGAGGCCGAGGAAGAGGUUGGGGCUACCGCUGA